rnacentral:rRNA from 1 species
AGAGUUUGAUUCUGGCUCAGGAUGAACGCUGGCGGCGUGCCUAACACAUGCAAGUCGAACGGAGCUAUUUUUAGAGACUUCGGUCAAAGAAGCUUAAGCUUAGUGGCGGACGGGUGAGUAACGCGUGGAGAACCUGCCCUGUACCGGGGGAUAACAGUUGGAAACAGUUGCUAAUACCGCAUAAGCGCACGAGGCCGCAUGGCCUUGUGUGAAAAACUCCGGUGGUACAGGAUGGCUCCGCGUUGGAUUAGCCAGUUGGCGGGGUAACGGCCCACCAAAGCGACGAUCCAUAGCCGGCCUGAGAGGGUGAACGGCCACAUUGGGACUGAGACACGGCCCAGACUCCUACGGGAGGCAGCAGUGGGGAAUAUUGCACAAUGGGGGAAACCCUGAUGCAAGCGACUCCGCGUGAAGGAAGAAGUAUCUCGGUAUGUAAACUUCUAUCAGCAGGGAAGAUGAUGACGGUACCUGACUAAGAAGCCCCGGCUAACUACGUGCCAGCCGCAGC